rnacentral:lncRNA from 1 species
AUGGACAUGCAGGUUUUAAGAAUCAGGCUGGUGUGGCAGUUGGCUUCUGGAGAGCUGGGCAUGAUUAUAUUCAUGACUGUGGAGUGUCAGUGCAGUGGUAUUUGGGGGGGCAGACUGAGCCUGUCCCUAUGCUCCUUCUCUCCAGAGAUCUUCAUAUUGUCUUCCUCCCGUGCUGGACACGUGUGCCAAGGAACCUACCUAAAUCCAGAUCUAUGUCCUCCUCCUCCCUGCUCCACCUCAGCCUCUUCCUCCCUGCUGGACACCUGUGCCAAGGAACCUACUAAAUCCAGUGAUCUCUGCAUCCUCCUCCUCCCUGUUGGACACCUGUGCCAAGGAACCUACCUAAAUCCAGAGUCCUCCGCAUCCUCCUCCUCCUUUCUCACCCCGAGCAUCUUCCUUGUCUGCUGGACACCUGUGCCAAGGAACCUACCUCAAUCCAGAGGGGCAGAGGAGGAAGGAACCAUGCUGGCCCGUGCCCCAGGCCAGUGA